rnacentral:rRNA from 1 species
UAACCUGCCCAAGAGAUCGGGAUAACACCUGGAAACAGAUGCUAAUACCGGAUAAUAACAGAUGAUGCCUAUCAACUGUUUAAAAGAUGGUUCUGCUAUCACUCUUGGAUGGACCUGCGGUGCAUUAGCUAGUUGGUAGGGUAACGGCCUACCAAGGCGAUGAUGCAUAGCCAGUUGAGAGACUGAUCGGCCACAUUGGGACUGAGACACGGCCCAAACUCCUACGGGAGGCAGCAGCC